CAAUAGCGUAUAUUAACGUUGUUGCAGUUAAAAAGCUCGUAGUUGGAUUUCUGGAGGGAGCGUCGGCCCGUAUUUACGAGUGCGUGACGUCUCUGUCCAUCCUCGCGGGAAGGUACGGCAUUGAUUUGUUGUGUCGGAUCGCAUCAUUUACUGUGAAAAAAUUAGAGUGUUCAAAGCAGGCUUUCGCUUGAAUACAUUAGCAUGGAAUAAUAAGAUAGGACUUUGGUGCUAUUUUGUUGGUUGAGCCUAAAGUAAUGAUUAAUAGGGAUAGUUGGGGGCACCUGUAUUGCGUUGUCAGAGGUGAAAUUCUUGGAUUUACGCAAGACAAACAGCUGCGAAAGCGUCUGCCAAGGAUGUUUUCAUUAA
rnacentral:rRNA from 1 species